CAUUCGAGAAGCUUGUACAGCAUUAACCUUUUAAGUUAAAGACUGGGAAUCUAAAUUUCCCCUCAAUGA
rnacentral:tRNA from 1 species